AGCAGCCGCGGUAAUUCCAGCUCCAAUAGCGUAUAUUAAAGUUGCUGCAGUUAAAAAGCUCGUAGUUGAAUUUCGGGAUCAAUAUGUUGGUCGUGCCUCGGUACGUACUAGCUUAUUGGUUUCUCCCUUCUGACGAACCAUGAUGUCAUUUAUCUGGUGUUAUGGGAAAUCAGGACUGUUACUUUGAAAAAAUUAGAGUGUUUAAAGCAGGCUCACGCUUGAAUACAUUAGCAUGGAAUAAUGAAAUAGGACGUUUGAUUCUAUUUUGUUGGUUUCUAGGAUCGACGUAAUGAUUAAUAGGGAUAGUUGGGGGCAUUAGUAUUCAAUUGUCAGAGGUGAAAUUCUUGGAUUUAUUGAAGACUAACUACUGCGAAAGCAUUUGCCAAGGAUGUUUUCAUUAAUCAAGAACGAAAGUUAGGGGAUCGAAGACGAUCAGAUACCGUCGUAGUCUUAACCAUAAACUAUGCCGACUAGGAUCGGAUGAUGUUAAUUUUUAAUGA
rnacentral:rRNA from 1 species